UGCCCAACAAUAUCCUGGUGCUGAGUGAGUUGCAAGAUGGAGACUCCAGCAUCAGUGAUUUUGUUGAGGA
rnacentral:pre_miRNA from 1 species